rnacentral:rRNA from 1 species
UACAGAGGGUGCGAGCGUUGUUCGGAAUUACUGGGCGUAAAGCGCACGUAGGCGGCUGUUCAAGUCAGAGGUGAAAGCCCGGAGCUCAACUCCGGAACUGCCUUUGAAACUAGAUAGCUCGAAUCAUGGAGAGGCGAGUGGAAUUCCGAGUGUAGAGGUGAAAUUCGUAGAUAUUCGGAAGAACACCAGUGGCGAAGGCGGCUCGCUGGACAUGUAUUGACGCUGAGGUGCGAAAGCGUGGGGAGCAAACAGG